AUUGAACGCUGGCGGCAUGCCUUACACAUGCAAGUCGAACGGUAACGGGCCUUCGGGUGCCGACGAGUGGCGAACGGGUGAGUAAUGCAUCGGAACGUACCUUUCAGUGGGGGGAUAACGUAGCGAAAGUUACGCUAAUACCGCAUAUUCUGUGAGCAGGAAAGCAGGGGAUCGCAAGACCUUGCGCUGAUUGAGCGGCCGAUGUCAGAUUAGCUAGUUGGUGAGGUAAAGGCUCACCAAGGCGACGAUCUGUAGCGGGUCUGAGAGGAUGAUCCGCCACACUGGAACUGAGACACGGUCCAGACUCCUACGGGAGGCAGCAGUGGGGAAUUUUGGACAAUGGGGGCAACCCUGAUCCAGCCAUGCCGCGUGAGUGAAGAAGGCCUUCGGGUUGUAAACCGUACUUCUAGCAGGAAGAAGCGGAAAGUAGACGGUAACCGUGACAGAAGAAGCACCGGCUAACUACGUAG
rnacentral:rRNA from 1 species